UGUUAAUCUGAUGGGUGCUCCUUUAUAGAGAUUUUCUCUUUUCUACAAUCCUGGACAACAGGAAAACUGGCACCCAUCACCAUUGGGAUUCUUUAUACCUCAGAAAACAUAACACCAAUGUGAUUUGAGCUGUGUUUGAAAUGGAAUAAAAAAUCAUGAAAAAAGUCCUGAAAUGAAAUCAUCUGUUUCAGUGGAGACCAAUAACUACUACCCCCACCAUCCCUACUCAAGAGAGGAGAAUGUUCCAGCUUUACCAACACUGAGAAUAAGAUAUUGGAUUAGGUCUGUUUCACAGUGGGCAGGUCUAUGCAAACCUACAAAAAAACUUGAAGAAGUUGAGAGGCUGAAGAAAGAGCCUGACAAACCCAGUUUCUUAGAAGAAAACACUUAA
rnacentral:lncRNA from 1 species